rnacentral:misc_RNA from 1 species
CAUCCCUCAAGCUUUGCUUGGUAUUGGGUGUCACCUAGCAUGGUGUACCUAAAAUUCAGUGGCAGUACCACCGGCCUCAAGUGUAGUAAUAUUUCUCACUUUCGGGUUUGGUGUUAUGCUUCCCAGCAAGCCCUAAUUUAUCAAA